AAUUGGUUAGUUGGCUCCUCUUCUUGUUUUUUUUUUUGUAAAUAUGUUGUGUAUCUUGUCUCUUAGAGUUGUGUUCUGAAAGGAGAGAAAAAGAAAAGAGACAAGAUAAAAAUAAAAUAAAAUAAAAUAAAAUAAAAAUAAAAUAAAAAAAUAUUUGUGAAUAAUGGAUUCAAGAAGAGGAUAGUGCUUUCAAAAGGACUACAGGGCUAAAAUUAAAACCAGCAAACACUACCCUGACGGUUGCGGAUGGAUCUAUUAUAAAGUCAAUCGGUAUGGUGGAAGAUGCAACUAUUCGAAUUAAUGAGUUGGAAUUUUUACUUGACAUUUUA
rnacentral:lncRNA from 1 species